CCUACGGGAGGCAGCAGUCGAGAAUCAUUCACAAUGGGGGAAACCCUGAUGGUGCGACGCCGCGUGGGGGAAUGAAGGUCUUCGGAUUGUAAACCCCUGUCAUGUGGGAGCAAAUUAAAAAGAUAGUACCACAAGAGGAAGAGACGGCUAACUCGGUGCCAGCAGCCGCGGUAAUACAGAGGUCUCAAGCGUUGUGCGGAAUCACUGGGCGUAAGGCGUGCGUAGGCUGUUUCGUAAGUCGUGUGUGAAAGGCGCGGGCUCAACCCGCGGACGGCACAUGAUACUGCGAGACUAGAGUAAUGGAGGGGGAACCGGAAUGCUCGGUGUAGCAGUGAAAUGCGUAGAUAUCGAGAGGAACACUCGUGGCGAAGGCGGGUUCCUGGACAUUAACUGACGCUGAGGCACGAAGGCCAGGGGAGCGAAAGGGAUUAGAUACCCCUGUAGUC
rnacentral:rRNA from 1 species